rnacentral:rRNA from 1 species
GAUGAACGCUGGCGGCGUGCCUAAUACAUGCAAGUCGAGCGAACGGACGAGAAGCUUGCUUCUCUGAUGUUAUCGGCGGACGGGUGGGUAACACGUGGAUAACCUACCUAUAAGACUGGGAUAACUUCGGGAAACCGGAGCUAAUACCGGAUGAUAUUUUGAACCGCAUGGUUCAAAAGUGAAAGACGGUCUUGCUGUCACUUAUAGAUGGAUCCGCGCUGCAUUAGCUAGUUGGUAAGGUAACGGCUUACCAAGGCAACGAUGCAUAGCCGACCUGAGAGGGUGAUCGGCCACACUGGAACUGAGACACGGUCCAGACUCCUACGGGAGGCAGCAGUAGGGAAUCUUCCGCAAAGGGCGAAAGCCUGACGGAGCAACGCCGCGUGAGUGAUGAAGGUCUUCGGAUCGUAAAACUCUGUUAUUAGGGAAGAACAUAUGUGUAAGUAACUGUGCACAUCUUGACGGUACCUAAUCAGAAAGCCACGGCUAACUACGUG